rnacentral:rRNA from 1 species
UACGUAUGGUGCAAGCGUUAUCCGGAUUUACUGGGCGUAAAGGGAGCGCAGGCGGCGCGCCAAGUCUGAUGUGAAACCCCGGGGCUCAACCCCGGGCAUGCAUUGGAAACUGGCGGGCUGGAGUGCCGGAGAGGUAAGCGGAAUUCCUAGUGUAGCGGUGAAAUGCGUAGAUAUUAGGAGGAACACCAGUGGCGAAGGCGGCUUACUGGACGGCAACUGACGCUGAGGCUCGGAAGCGUGGGGAGCAAACAGG